GCGAAAUGUUGGCCUCCAACACCCAUACGCGAAGAGCAUCCUUGAAGGACAAAUCGUCGGGUCCGAAAAAGACGCAUCACUAUCAGAACAGUGUGCAGCUGAAAACAAGCAACAUUAAAAACACUGCAACAAAUCCAAUCAUAGCAAACAAUACCUAAUUCAUCCCCCGACAAUGGAAUAUCAUGCUCAAUCACUGGAGCAGCGGAUUGAGCAAGUGGCUCUGGUGUUGCUGUAAGAAUUUUUGGUUAGUAAUAUUAGCAUCAGUCCACCACGGUCCGUCUACACAAGCUUUUUACCAGUCGGUGCCGAAUAUUGGUAGCUACAUCCUGCUUCCUCCAUAUCCAUGUCCCAUUCCCUUGCAUAUUGCUUCAACAAGCUAUCACGCUUCCGAUACGAGGAACCAGUCUUUUUAUCACGCUGUGCUGCCAUCGUAAAGUUUUAGUUUUUUCCAAAAUUAACUGAUCACGGUGAAAAAUAAAUAUAUUUGUGUUGCUUCGAGCUGCUGUCAAACGAA